UUGCUGUGUAUCCGGUUAGACCCGCGCAUGCGUGUGCGGUCAGACGGCGCCAUCAUGCCGGAGGGGAAGGGAACGAUCCGGGAGGUGCUGCCCAAACAAGGGCAGCUGGCGGCGGAGGACACGGCCGGCAUGGUGCUGUGCAAGCCCAAAGUGCUGCCCCUCAAGUCGGUGUCGCUGGAGAAGCUGGAGCAGCUGCAGCGCGCAGCGAUGGAGGCGAUGGAAGCGUCGCGGCCGCCCGAGGGCUCUGCGGGCUCCCAACCGCGGCCAUAAGCGGAGUAACAGAAUUUUUCACUUUUCCAGUUACAUAGAAAAAAAGGAGCGGUUUGGUACGUGCUGGCUGGAACAUCUCAAACUGACCAGUGGAACAGGUGAAUUUGGCCAAUGAGCCAGCGCGCUCUUCUUGGGCUCUUUAAGACAAAGAAACAGCUAUUUUCCCUCCCAACGCACAGUAUUUCAUCAGCAGCAACUGAGGGGAUGAGAGCAGCUCAACCUGAGCCCCUGCUAGAAAGCUCUGUACAGAUCAGGGAUUUAUUUCCCAUUGAAAACACUGUCCUUGAAAGAAACAGCGGCAGUCAGACGUGGAUGCAAACAUGGAAUGAUCACUUAUGGCACUUAUAAAAGGUAGCUUAUCUGAAGGCACCGCCACAACGGAGCGGCCAGUUGGUCUGUUUGGAUGCCCAAAGAAAGAACUUUUCUUUCUGAAAUCUAUAAAACUCUUAAAAAAAAAACAAAAACAAAAAAAAAAAAAACCAACUGAUCUGUACCCAAAACACGUGCUCUUAAAAAUAUAGCAACUGUGCUAAGCAACUCGUAGAAAUUUGGUAUACAAUACAUGCAUAUACGUAUAUACAGGCACACGGACCAAAAAAGGCCUGUGUGUCUGUAUAUAUCUAUAUAGAUGCCUCUCUUUUGUCUCUUUCCCUUUCAACUUCUAAGGCUUCAGCAGUUGGUUCCGACAUUCAGUAGCUUUCUAGUUUCAGCCGGCCUCCAUCUCCUUCACUCACAAAGCGCUUCCUGCCCCUGGAAAACAACACAAAGUCUAUUAUCAGCAAGUCUGUGGUAGCAUCACUUCUGUCAGUGGGAAGAAUCUUCUCUUGGUCUCGAGUUAAAUGUGAGACUGAAACACAAGCUCAAAACUCCUGUCUGUAUAUUCCUGAGAGCUGAAGCAUCAUGAAGCUUUUGUUGCAGCAAUGACUUUCGGCCCUACCGAACCCUCAGUGCAAGCUGAUGUCGAGAUUCAAACUGGAAGAUAUUGAACAGACAGCAUUUCUGGUGCAGAAUAUCAUGGAUAGUUUUAACAUCGACAUUUACACAUCAAACUUAAAGGUUUGUCUGCAUCAUUAAAACUCCUGGAUCUUCCAUCUCAGCACUGCGCUGAUCUCUGCCAAGUGAGCAAAACUGAGAGGAGAUGCAGGCCUUCAUGUGCUGCAGCAGUCAGACACGCUGCCAGGGAUUCCAACAGCAGCUUCCUUCCCUCACAUAUGUAUCAACCCUGUUCUCUUUGUUCCUCCAUCUCCCCUGGUCUCUGUACCAACCCGUCACACCCAGGUUAUAAGAUCCUGCUUCCAAACUGAGCUCCAGCACCUCUCUGUAAUAAAACAAGUACCUGGAAGGACAAAGGUCUCUCAGUGGUUUGGAGAUGAUUCCAGCCUGAAAACAUUCCUCCACAAACCGCUCGAGCACAGAAUAGGAGUGUGGCACAUCCAGGUUAAUAUCUGGUAUUUCACAGUAAACUCGUUCGUAGCCCUGUAGUUUAAGAAAGCAAAUAAUUAUUUGGUUGUUCUAAAAUUACAAUUUUUUAACCA